rnacentral:rRNA from 1 species
AUUGAACGCUGGCGGCAUGCCUUACACAUGCAAGUCGAACGGUAACGGGCCUUCGGGUGCCGACGAGUGGCGAACGGGUGAGUAAUGUAUCGGAACGUACCUUUCAGUGGGGGAUAACGUAGCGAAAGUUACGCUAAUACCGCAUAUUCUGUGAGCAGGAAAGCAGGGGAUCGCAAGACCUUGCGCUGAUUGAGCGGCCGAUAUCAGAUUAGCUAGUUGGUGAGGUAAAGGCUCACCAAGGCGACGAUCUGUAGCGGGUCUGGGAGGAUGAUCCGCCACACUGGAACUGAGACACGGUCCAGACUCCUACGGGAGGCAGCAGUGGGGAAUUUUGGACAAUGGGGGCAACCCUGAUCCAGCCAUGCCGCGUGAGUGAAGAAGGCCUUCGGGUUGUAAAGCUCUUUCGGCCGGAAAGAAAUCGUAUCAGCUAAUACCUGGUGCGGAUGACGGUACCGGCAUAAGAAGCACCGGCUAACUACGUGCCAGCCGCCGCAGUAACAC